rnacentral:rRNA from 1 species
GGGAGCUCUCCCAUAUGGUCGACCUGCAGGCGGCCGCGAAUUCACUAGUGAUUCGUAUUACCGCGGCUGCUGGCACAGAGUUAGCCGGUGCUUAUUCUGCGGGUACCGUCAUAGCAACGAGUUAUUCGCUCGUUACCUUUCUUCCCCACCUAAAGUGCUUUACAACCCGAAGGCCUUCUUCACACACGCGGCAUCGCUGGAUCAGGGUUUCCCCCAUUGUCCAAGAUUCCCCACUGCUGCCUCCCGUAGGAGUCUGGGCCGUGUCUCAGUCCCAGUGUGGCUGGUCAUCCUCUCAGACCAGCUACGGAUCGUCGCCUUGGUAGGCUUUUACCCCACCAACUAGCUAAUCCGACGUAGGCUCACCCCAGAGCGCAAGGCCUUUCGGUCCCCUGCUUUUGAUCUCUCGAUAUCAUGUGGUAUUAGCCCGAGUUUCCUCGGGUUAUCCCACGCUCCAGGACAGAUUCCUACGUGUUACUCACCCGUCCGCCACUCGCCACCCCAUAAAGACCGAAAUCUUUACUGUGCUGCCGUUCGACUUGCAUGUGUUAGGCAUGCCGCCAGCGUUCAAUCUGAGCCAUGAUCAAACUCUAAUCGAAUUCCCGCGGCCGCCAUGGCGGCCGGGAGCAUGCGAC